rnacentral:rRNA from 1 species
UACGUAGGGUGCAAGCGUUGUCCGGAAUCACUGGGCUUAAAGCGCGUGUAGGCGGGCCGCCGCGUCGGCUGCUGAAAUCCCCCGGCUCAACCGGGGAACGGGCACCGAUACGGGCGGCCUCGAGGGGGGUAGGGGGGCCUGGAACUUCCGGUGGAGCGGUGAAAUGCGUUGAGAUCGGAAGGAACGCCCGUGGCGAAAGCGGCUUCCUGGUCCAGCACCGACGUUCAGGCACGAAAGCGUGGGGAGCAAACAGG